rnacentral:pre_miRNA from 12 species
UAACACAUACCCGUAGAACCGAACUUGUGUGAUUCAUUUGUAGAUCACAAGUUAGGUAAGACGGGUCUACGUUGA